AAGGCAUGGUGUGGGCACUUUCACAAUAUCUCUUUGUAUUUUUUCCAUGCUUCAUAAAGUGAUUUAUCAUCCUUCUAGGAGAAAUAAUUUAUAUCAUUCCUUAACCG